AGAGUUUGAUCCUGGCUCAGAUUGAACGCUGGCGGCAUGCUUUACACAUGCAAGUCGAGCGGCAGCGCGGGGCUCAGGCAACUGAGCCCUGGCGGCGAGCGGCGAACGGGUGAGUAACACAUCGGAACGUAUCCCGUAGAGGGGGAUAGCCCGGCGAAAGCCGGAUUAAUACCGCAUAUGCUCUACGGAGGAAAGUGGGGGACUUCGCAAGGGGCCUCACGCUAUGGGAGCGGCCGAUGUCCGAUUAGCUAGUUGGUGGGGUAAAGGCCUACCAAGGCGACGAUCGGUAGCUGGUCUGAGAGGAUGAUCAGCCACACUGGGACUGAGACACGGCCCANACUCCUACGGGAGGCAGCAGUGGGGAAUUUUGGACAAUGGGGGAAACCCUGAUCCAGCCAUGCCGCGUGCGGGAAGAAGGCCUUCGGGUUGUAAACCGCUUUUAGUCGGGAAGAAAGGGUUUCCUUGAAUACGGGAGAUUCGUGACGGUACCGGCGGAAUAAGCACCGGCUAACUACGUGCCAGCAGCCGCGGUAAUACGUAGGGUGCGAGCGUUAAUCGGAAUUACUGGGCGUAAAGAGUGCGUAGGCGGUUCUCCAAGUCCGUUGUGAAAGCCCCGGGCUCAACCUGGGAAUGGCAGUGGAAACUAGGGGACUUGAAUCUGGCAGAGGGGGGUGGAAUGCC
rnacentral:rRNA from 1 species